rnacentral:rRNA from 1 species
GUCGACGGCAGCACGAGUGCUUGCACUUGGUGGCGAGUGGCGAACGGGUGAGUAAUGCAUCGGAACGUGUCCUGAAGUGGGGGAUAACGCAUCGAAAGAUGUGCUAAUACCGCAUAUUCUCUGAGGAGGAAAGUGGGGGAUCGAAAGACCUUAUGCUUUUGGAGCGGCCGAUGUCUGAUUAGCUAGUUGGUGGGGUAAUGGCCUACCAAGGCGACGAUCAGUAGUUGGUCUGAGAGGACGACCAGCCACACUGGGACUGAGACACGGCCCAGACUCCUACGGGAGGCAGCAGUGGGGAAUUUUGGACAAUGGGCGAAAGCCUGAUCCAGCAAUGCCGCGUGAGUGAAGAAGGCCUUCGGGUUGUAAAGCUCUUUCAGUUGAGAAGAAAAGAUUGUGACUAAUAAUCACGAUUCAUGACGGUAUCAACAGAAGAAGCACCGGCUAACUACGUGCCAGCAGCCGCGGUAAUACGUAGGGUGCGAGCGUUAAUCGGAAUUACUGGGCGUAAAGGGUGCGCAGGCGGUUCUGUAAGUCAGAUGUGAAAUCCCCGGGCUUAACCUGGGAAUUGCGUUUGAAACUGCAGGGCUAGAGUGUGGCAGAGGGGGGUGGAAUUCCAUGUGUAGCAGUGAAAUGCGUAGAGAUAUGGAAGAACAUCGAUGGCGAAGGCAACCCCCUGGGUUAACACUGACGCUCAUGCACGAAAGCGUGGGGAGCAAACAGGAUUAGAUACCUGGUAGUCCACGCCCUAAACUAUGUCAACUAGUUGUCGGGU